AAUGAUAUGCCUGAAAAAAGGAUUAUUUUGAUAGAAUAAAUCAUGCAAAAUUUUGCUAUCAUUA
rnacentral:tRNA from 1 species